rnacentral:rRNA from 1 species
GAUGAACGCUGGCGGCGUGCCUAAUACAUGCAAGUCGAGCGAACAGACGAGGAGCUUGCUCCUCUGACGUUAGCGGCGGACGGGUGAGUAACACGUGGAUAACCUACCUAUAAGACUGGGAUAACUUCGGGAAACCGGAGCUAAUACCGGAUAAUAUAUUGAACCGCAUGGUUCAAUAGUGAAAGACGGUUUUGCUGUCACUUCUAGAUGGAUCCGCGCCGCAUUAGCUAGUUGGUAAGGUAACGGCUUACCAAGGCAACGAUGCGUAGCCGACCUGAGAGAGUGAUCGGCCACACUGGAACUGGGACACGGUCCAGACUCCUACGAGAGGCAGCAGUAGGGAAUCUUCCGCAAUGGGCGAAAGCCUGACGGAGCAACGCCGCGUGAGUGAUGAAGGUCUUCGGAUCGUAAAACUCUGUUAUUAGGGAAGAACAAAUGUGUAAGUAACUGUGCACGUCUUGACGGUACCUAAUCAGAAAGCCACGGCUAACUACGUG